ACUACCCCGACCGCCCUAAAGCAUCACUGAGACCCACAAGUUGUGACUGGUCACCCAGCUCUGGGGAAUGUCCCCAUAAUAGAACUGCAGAUGUGCACAGACCAUGCCUGGCUCUGUUAUCUGGGUGCUGGGAAUCCUAAGACAGAACUUCAUGCUUGUACAGGAAGCAGAGGCAUGAAGCUAUGCUGUCCAUGAUCUCUACACCACACAGUCAGCCCCAAGUGUUGAGCAAAGAGACCUGAACCUUCCCAUGCCUUUGAUGUUCAAGGUUCCUACAGGCAUGAUCAUCCAUACUACUGAAGGGGCCAUGAGAGCAGUUCGUCCAUGCAAGCCCUACUGGACACAGGCAUCUCCACCCUGAAGACAGAAACUAAAAGACCUUCUUUCAAACUGAACUGGCCCUGGGCCAUGACUUUGAACCUGAUGCUGAGAUGACCCUGGGUGCUCAACCCACCUCAUGGAUGCUGAGAUGACCCUGGGUGCUAGACUUCUGUGAACCUAGUGGUGAGUGGCAAUGACACUGGAGUGUAUUAGAUAAAAGGAAGCUAGCUUUAGCACUAGAAACAACCUGUACUACAAGCAGACUCAAUGUAGCCCGGUCCUUUGUGCACAGAAUGUGUGAUACUAACCUCCUCUGAAUGGGCAGAAAAGUAAGGUCACUAAAUUUUUUACUCCCAGCUACUAAACAGUCCCAACUCUACAGGAUGUGAUAAUAUGCAAUAGGACACUUCAGAGCAGGCAGUGACACCUUUGAAACAACUACCAAAUAAAUACCCAAGAAAGUCCACUUUAAAUGGAAGCCCUGGGGUUAUCCUUUGCCCUAGAAGACCUGAAGUAUCAAUACCAGACAGCAGUGUCAAAGCAACUUCUCUUCUGCGGAGUGUGGUUGAGCAUUCCAUCUCAUUCUAUAGCUGAAGAGGGCCUGUGUGCUCUGUCAGGUAGAUGAAAACAUGCUCAUAAGACUCAAACACAAGAUGAGGUGUGAUAAUGUUCACAAAUGGCAAACUCUUCGAUAUAUACCAAUAAGACAUCAUGAAUAAGAAAUAGAAAUUGGAAUCAAAAGAAAUUCAGGUAAGCCACCAGCAUUCUCCUACGUGCUGUGUGGAUAAAUUAAACUAAGCACAAAUAUACUGACUGCACAUUGGCUAUUCAUGUGAGUUUCAUGAUCAACACAUGUUUUGAAUAUGCAAAGUCAUCUAGAGAAUAUUUAUUGGCUAUCCCCAUUGAUUAAGAUACUUCUAGUACUUGGGACAGAAACCAUUCGGUGAGCUUCUUGUCUCAGGACAGCUACACACAGGAUGGGUUAGCUAGGGAAGUUCAGGGAGUCUCCUGCAGGAGAACCCAUGCACUUGACCUUGAGGGAAUGGAUAGGUCAGGGAGAAAGGUGCGUAAGGGACUGUCUCUGACUCUUCUAGUGGCCAAUGUGAGUACACCCUACUAUCUAUCAGCAGAAUGAAACAGGCCCCCACCUGCAUCAACCACUGCAUGCAUCCAAAGCCUGAGAGAUGACCACAUCAUUAUGAAUUAGGCCUAGGAUACCCCUCCUUCCUCUGAACCUUGGAUUAUGGUCCAUAGUUCUCCCAUAAUUCUCUUCUCUGCCCUUGUCCAACUUAUGGUGGGUCUUUAAUCUCCCUUUCCUGGGGUUAAGUCACACUAGAAGAAGAGCCAUGAGUGACUUGUUCUCUGAUUCACUAGGGUAACUUUUGUUCCUAUUCUAUAUUCCCAUGGAGUAAUAGGAGAUGUGUUUACUUUGUUUUCUCUUGUAACAGGAUACCACUGAGUUGGUAAUCAAUGAACCAUAGAAAUGUAUCAAACUCACAGUGCUAAAGAUCAGGAGUGUGGUGACAGCACUUGGAAAGCGCCUUUAUGCUUCAUCAAAGAGAAUAGAAAAGAAAGUGAGCAUGGUCCAGACCCAGACAGAGGACAUGGGCUAACCUUUUCUUGUUAUCAAGAACCCCUUCCACCGCUGACCUAUGUCCUUCAUCUAUUUGUAAAUGCAGAACUUAAACGCAUUAUAAAGGUUCUGCCUCUUAGCAAUGGUUCAAUGGCAAGUCAACUUCAACACAAAUUAAGGAGGAGCAUCGACCACAGAAAGAGUGUAGACGCUAAGUACAACACCCCCAUGCAAGCCUUCUUCAGAUCAUAAAGAACAGAAGGCAGGUCAAACUUUCAUUCCUAUGUAACCCCUCAGACCCUGGCUCAGAACAAAUAUCUGAGAGUCAGUAUGGGAAGAGUAACAACAAAGACCCAGGCAGUCUUGUUUACUGACUGGGAAGGUAUUUCCUUGGCUUAUAAACAAGAUGUCUAAGAUGAGACGUUUAAGAUGUUUAUUUAGGUCCUUGAGCAAAUUUGAAAGUCAGGUUACUUUGUUUAAAGUGACUGCCAAUGGAACUUUCAAUCCUCUUGUCUUUGGUUUUUUGGAAGGUGGUGAAGUUUAUAGAUAUGGUGUGACUUUGAGAUGUUACUUAGCAUAAGGCUGGGUCAGGUUCUUGAGACUUUACCUGAGAGGGGUUAUACCACCCGAGUGUCACAUUUAUCCAACAUUACCUGUCUUCUGCAGUCCUCUUUCCAAACACUUCCUGCUGCUUUGUGAAUUGAGGGCAGAGACUUUCUCUCUGAACUAACACAACAGCCACCAUCUGCAUGAGAACAUUCUGGACUUGAAAUGUGUGGUCCAAGUUGAAAUGAGCUACAAGAGCAAAUAAACAGAGACUGCAAGACAUAGUAUAUACAGCAAGUAUACCAUAACUUGUUAACCUGACAUACUGGAGAAAGUGAAAUAAUAAAAUUAAUGUCAGCUAUUCUUACAUUUUAUUGUAUGUACUAGAAAAUUUUUACAUGAGACAUUUUGUUGGAACAAUGCUGGUUAGUAAUCAAAUAACUUUUCCAAACCAUGAUUUCAUUUAAAUUUAGAGAAAAGGAGAGCUCUAAGUUGGAAUGCAGCUGCCCGGAGUGUGUAGUAUUGAGGAAAACUUCCAUGCAUGAACAGAUUUAAAACCCAUGACCACCUAUAGAGAGGGGACUCUGGGUCUCCCCAGUAUACAAACAGACAUAGGACAUACAGAAAUGACAAGUCACCGUCGUUUUGGUAUGGCAAAGCUGGCAGUUAGCCCAGACCACAAGUCCUCAGUGUCUGAUUUUGUUAUGACUGGGACGUACCCUUGUGAACCUCUCAGAAUGUGGUUAGUAAUGGAGAUUCUCAUUUCAAAGGAAGUUUUAUCUUGGGUGACAUCUUUCUGGCUGACUUUGAAGCAACAGUGAGAAAACAUCCGAAUUCACUAUUAAUACAGCAUGAAUUCUAGAGCCAGCCAAGAUGGCUUCCUGAGGGUUGGCUUGGGGACCCGAUGAAGUUACUUUGCAAUGACUCUGGUGGGAAGUAUGAGUGACUGGGGACAUAGGGUGAUAAACCUUCCUAUCCAGCAAACCACAGUUAUACAGACACGGAGAGGAGACAGGGAAUAGCUGUCCAAUUGGGUUGUGGAAAAGCUCUGACAAUACGAGAAGGCUCUGCUGCAGAGGCUUGGCAUACAUUAAGGGCUUGAUAAACAUCUGCUCUUUCCUCUGGGCUUCCUUUGUUAAAAUCUUAAGUUAAAAGUUGCUAUUAAUGACUUAAAAGCACUGUAGGGCAAUGCACUCAGCACACCCAGGCACCAGCUACAUAGUGCAAUGCCCUCACAGUGACUUCAGAGAACCUUCUAGAGCUUUCCUCAAACAUAUCCAUGCUACAAAAGGUGUCGUUAUGUUGUUUUGUACACUAAAUCAAUGUUGUUAUGAUUUUAUUUUUCUCCCAAUUCCUGUGUACUGCUUUUUAGUUUAACAAAUUAAAAGACAUCUUGAGUAUACAUGACUUUCACUUACAGGUAGGUUGUGGCAUAUUACAGACAGAUAAAAUAUUUUUAAACAAUGCCUUAUCUUACCUAGGAGGUGAAUAGUAAGUUAGUGGGGUUUAUUAUCCAUUUUCCAGCCCCUCUACCCACAGUCUCGGAUGAUUUUCUAGAGUUGGUUUCCUUGGACUGUAUCCCUUGUUUUAAAUUCCAUUUUAUAAUAGCCCCUCUCUCCUGCUCUCUCUUAUUCUUUUCCUGUGUCCUUUCCCACAACGAUACAUAUGGAAUGGAGGAACAAAAGUGAGAAAAGACAGCAACACGCAGCUGCAGGAUGAGACCAGUGGAGCAAAGCUCAGCAAGGGUCACAAACAUCUACUGCUGCAGGGCCCUGUGUGCCUUUCCCAGGAGCUGUGCUUUUCCUCUGAGCGUCCCAGCAGGGAUGGCUUAACAAUUAAAAGAUCACAAUGCUCAUGAGAUUCAGUUUGAGAAGUAAACCCAGAAUCCUCUUCUGGGUGAGUGAAGGUUCCUAGCAGUGCCACCAAAGCACUGGAUCUCAUUUUUCUUUUUUAACAAACUAACUAACUAACUAAGUAAGUAACUAACUAACUAAAACAGUGUUGAAAAGAAAACUAACAUGAACUUGAACUUGAGCCUAGAACCCCCUUUCAUGAGAAUGGAGCCCAGGAGGUACAGAGCCUGCCUGAUGCCUGGGGCAAAACUCUUGGCUUUCUAGAGCAGUGGAAUCUGAGUCGGACUACAAGCACCUGUCUUUUGAAAGGAUGCCAGGCUGAAUGAAAAAAGGAAAGC
rnacentral:sRNA from 1 species